UUGAGCAAACACAAAGUCGGGCUCAUCCAAGGAUGAGAUUUUGCCAGAGAAAGGACGAGCAGCAAGUCAGGGAGCUUAAGGUGGUGGAAAGGAAAUCCCUCACAGCAACUGGCACCAUAAUCAAGACAAUGUUUGCAGAAUAAAUGGAGUUACCUGCUUUCAGCCCCAGGUCGUAGCUAUUGUCUGCCCUGCUGAUAUGUGAUAAUAAUUUGUGAUCCUGUUGUCUUAAAAUGGGGUCACUCAUCUCCAGUAGAAUUAAGUCCACAGUGAAGUUGUCCCCCCAUCCCCAAAGAGAUAAACAUAUAUGAAUGAACUCACGUGAUAACAACUACUGCUGCCUGGGAUCAUGAGAGACCUGAAAUGAACUGAUAGGAAGUGAAAAGUGGCUGAGAUGAUGAGAAUAGACCCAUCNG
rnacentral:lncRNA from 1 species